rnacentral:rRNA from 1 species
AUUGAACGCUGGCGGCAGGCUUAACACAUGCAAGUCGAGCGAGCGGCGGACGGGUGAGUAAUGUCUGGGAAACUGCCUGAUGGAGGGGGAUAACUACUGGAAACGGUAGCUAAUACCGCAUACCCUCAGAUGUGCCCAGUUGGGAUUAGCUAGUAGGUGGGGUAAUGGCUCACCUAGGCGACGAUCCCUAGCUGGUCUGAGAGGAGGACCAGCCACACUGGAACGGUGAAACGGUCCAGACUCCUACGGGAGGCAGAAGGGGGGAAUAUUGCAAAAUGGGCGCAAGCCUGAUGCAGCCAUACCGCGGGUGUGAAGAAGGCCUUCGGGUUGUAAAGCACUUUAAGCGAGGAGGCGUUACUCGCAGAAGAAGCACCGGCUAACUCCGUGCCAGCAGCCGCGGUAAUAC